rnacentral:rRNA from 1 species
CCUACGGGGGGCUGCAGUGGGGAAUAUUGCACAAUGGGCGCAAGCCUGAUGCAGCCAUGCCGCGUGUGUGAAGAAGGCCUUCGGGUUGUAAAGCACUUUCAGCGGGGAGGAAGGCGUUAAGGUUAAUAACCUUGGCGAUUGACGUUACCCGCAGAAGAGGCACCGGCUAACUCCGUGCCAGCAGCCGCGGUAAUACGGAGGGUGCAAGCGUUAAUCGGAAUUACUGGGCGUAAAGCGCACGCAGGCGGUCUGUCAAGUCGGAUGUGAAAUCCCCGGGCUCAACCUGGGAACUGCAUUCGAAACUGGCAGGCUAGAGUCUUGUAGAGGGGGGUAGAAUUCCAAGUGUAGCGGUGAAAUGCGUAGAGAUCUGGAGGAAUACCGGUGGCGAAGGCGGCCCCCUGGACAAAGACUGACGCUCAGGUGCGAAAGCGUGGGGAGCAAACAGGAUUAGAUACCCGGGUAGUC